rnacentral:rRNA from 1 species
AUUGAACGCUGGCGGCAGGCUUAACACAUGCAAGUCGAGCGGAGAUGAGGUGCUUGCACCUUAUCUUAGCGGCGGACGGGUGAGUAAUGCUUAGGAAUCUGCCUAUUAGUGGGGGACAACAUUCCGAAAGGAAUGCUAAUACCGCAUACGUCCUACGGGAGAAAGCAGGGGAUCUUCGGACCUUGCGCUAAUAGAUGAGCCUAAGUCGGAUUAGCUAGUUGGUGGGGUACAGGCCUACCAAGGCGACGAUCUGUGGCGGGUCUGAGAGGAUGAUCCGCCACACUGAGACUGAGAAACGGCCCAGACUCCUACGGAAGGCAGGCGUGGGGAAUAUUGGAAAAUGGGGGGAACCCUGAUCCAGCCAUGCCGCGUGUGUGAAGAAGGCCUUAUGGUUGUAAAGCACUUUAAGCGAGGAGGAGGCUACUGAGACUAAUACUCUUGGAUAGUGGACGUUACUCGCAGAAUAAGCACCGGCUAACUCUGUGCCAGCCGCCGCAGUAACAC